AACAGCUGUAUUUGAAUAUUUGAUUGUACAAUAAUAUUGAACAGUAAAAUUCUUAUCAUCUGAAAACAUGUGGUUGUGCAGUUGGGUUUCAGUUUGCGCGUUGUUCUGUGACAGUAGUGUAUUUUAAUCAUUAAUUAAAGACUGCAAGGGUAUAACGUGAACAUUAACUAAGAUAAAUGAUGUUCCAGGAGGUUAAGGUUGUCCACAAAUAUCAAAUGGAAUUUGUUCUUAUGGCAGCUAGAAAAAGGAAAAUUUGGAUGUUAAGCAAGAUGAUUGGAUAAAAUUAAAACCAUUUGUUCACCUCCAAUACACUCCUUAGAAUGUGAUGGACCUUAACUACUUAGGAAUGCAAUUUGAGAGGAUAUUGCAAGAAAAUUGCAGACAUAAGGUUUUUGUUGGAAGACUAAACGCACCGCAUUGUUUCAAUCUUUGGGG